GUGCUUGCUUCAGCAGCACAUGUACUAAAAUUGAAAAGAUGCAGAGAAGAUUAGCAUGCCCCUGUGCAAGGAUGACAUGCAAAUUCGUGAAGCAUUCCAUAUUUUU
rnacentral:snRNA from 1 species